GGGCCCGCACAAGCGGUGGAGCAUGUGGUUUAAUUCGAUGAUACGCGAGGAACCUUACCAGGGCUUAAAUGUAGUAUGACCGGCUUGGAAACAGGCCUUCUCUUCGGAGCAGAUUACAAGGUGCUGCAUGGUUGUCGUCAGCUCGUGCCGUGAGGUGUUAGGUUAAGUCCUGCAACGAGCGCAACCCCUAUUCUUAGUUGCCAGCGGUUCGGCCGGGGACUCUAAGAAGACUGCCAGCGCAAGCUGAGAGGAAGGUGGGGAUGACGUCAAAUCAUCACGGCCCUUACGUCCUGGGCUACACACGUGCUACAAUGGUAGAGACAGAGGGCAGCCACCUGGUGACAGGGAGCGAAUCCUUAAACUCUAUCUCAGUUCGGAUCGCAGUCUGCAACUCGACUGCGUGAAGUCGGAAUCGCUAGUAAUCG
rnacentral:rRNA from 1 species